rfam:Picea glauca, whole genome shotgun sequence.
GGGUGCGAUCAUACCAACGUUAAUGCACCGAUCCCAUAAGAACUCUUGGGCUAGAGUAUUACUGGGAUGGGUGACCUCUCGGGAAGUCCUAGUGUUGCACCCU